AGUUAACGUUGGCGGCGUGCCUAACACAUGCAAGUCGAACGCGUCCUAAGGGCAACUUUAGGAUGAGUGGCGAACGGGUGAGUAUCACGUGGGUAAUCUUCCUUUAAGUGGGGAAUAAGCUCUCGAAAGGGAGUCUAAUACCGCAUGACAUUCCGGGACACAAGUCCCGUAAUCAAAGCCGCAAGGCGCUUGAAGAUGAGCCCGCGUCUGAUUAGCUAGUAGGUGGGGUAACGGCCUACCUAGGCGACGAUCAGUAGCCGGCCUGAGAGGGUGUACGGCCACACUGGAACUGAGACACGGUCCAGACUCCUACGGGAGGCAGCAGUGGGGAAUAUUGCGCAAUGGGGGAAACCCUGACGCAGCGACGCCGCGUGAGCGAUGAAGGCCUUCGGGUUGUAAAGCUCUGUUCUAAGGGACGAAGUCCCUGUUUGUGAAUAAUGAGCAGGGGUGACGGUACCUAAGGAGAAAAGCCCCGGACUAACUAACGUG
rnacentral:rRNA from 1 species